rnacentral:rRNA from 1 species
CCCUUAGAUGUUCUGGGCCGCACGCGUGCUACACUGAGUAAUUCAAUGGGUAAGGGAACGCUAGAGCAUUACCUAAUCUCGAAAUUUGCUCGUGAUGGGGAUCGACGGUUGCAAUUUUCCGUCGUGAACGAGGAAUACCUUGUAGGCGCAUGUCAUCAUCAUGCGCCGAAUACGUCCCUGCCCUUUGUACACACCGCCCGUCGCUCCUACCGAUUGAGUGAUCCGGUGAGGCUCUGGGACCUGGACGGAAAGAGCGUUUCGCUUGUUCUGUUUGGGAAACUUGGUCGAACCUUAUCAUUUAGAGGAAGGAGAAGUCGUAACA